rnacentral:misc_RNA from 1 species
GCCAAAACCAAACCAGUGCGCUAAAAAUGUUAAUUUGAAUUUGCAAUAGAGCUUCCUAUUCUGCAGGCCUUAGAGAUGGAAGAUAAAGGAGAAGGGGAAACAGAUUUCACCGUCAUUGAAACAGCCUCAGAUACCCUCGAUAGCUCUAUCAAAUUCCAUCUUGUUACUGAUAUCUUAGGUUUCGUCCUCUUUAUGCACCAGCAAAUCCCUUCCUUACUGCAGGAUCUCA